rnacentral:rRNA from 1 species
UACGUAGGGUGCGAGCGUUAAUCGGAAUUACUGGGCGUAAAGCGUGCGCAGGCGGUUCGUUGUGUCGGCGGUGAAAGCCCCGGGCUUAACCUGGGAAUGGCCGUCGAAACUGGCGAACUGGAGUGUGGCAGAGGGGGGUGGAAUUCCCGGUGUAGCGGUGAAAUGCGUAGAGAUCGGGAGGAACACCAGUGGCGAAGGCGGCACCCUGGACCAGCACUGACACUGAGGCACGAAAGCGUGGGGAGCAAACAGG